UACGUAGGGCGCAAGCGUUAUCCGGAAUUAUUGGGCGUAAAGAGCUCGUAGGCGGUUUGUCGCGUCUGCCGUGAAAGUCCGGGGCUCAACUCCGGAUCUGCGGUGGGUACGGGCAGACUAGAGUGAUGUAGGGGAGACUGGAAUUCCUGGUGUAGCGGUGAAAUGCGUAGAGAUCAGCAGGAACACCCGUGGCGAAGGCGGCCCCCUGGGCCGAACCUGACGCUGAGGCGCGAAGGCUAGGGGAGCGAACGGG
rnacentral:rRNA from 1 species